ensembl:lncRNA
GCAUAAUUAAAUAAUUAAAUGCAUCAAAAAAUUCAUAAAUAAAUGUUUGUUUGUUUAUUUAUUUAUUUAUUGCCUCCACAUUUCAUUUUCAGGGUAACGGUUGUCGGCACGUUACUCAACAAAAGUGGGCAUCACCCUUCAAACUGGAUUACUUUUGUCUUUCUAGUUUAGGCGCCUUUUUCUUGUUUUUGCAUCAUGAGCUAUGGCUGUUUGGCAUUCCAUAGUAAUGUACAUCAGUGAGAUCUUUAUAAAAUUAUAGCAGACUACUUACAUAAAAUGAUACACUGUUUUUCUCAAUUGAUUUGACACAUUUAUCCAAACUAUGUCUGUGUUCUCAAAACAGUUUACACAGUGAUCUGAACACUUUGUAAUUGUCCUAAACAGAUUGUAAGUUUUCAUUCAAUUCAUAAAAAUUACAAAUCAUGCGAAUAAUUUUCUAAAAACACUGUGCACAAAACUCUCAGAUCUUUUCAUGAUCGUUGAACAAACCAAUACACAAAUCACACAAAUCACAAACAUUUAAGUACCAUUUGUCCAAACACAACAAACAAAGAAAAGGUAAAGAAAAAGGUGUAAGUCCAAAAGGUUGUGGAGUGGGUAGAGAAAUUGGUGUAAUGACAGAGAGAAGAAGAAUGGAACAGGUAAAAAGAGAUGAGCAGGGGGGAGGAUGUAAAAAAACAGGAAAGGAAUGGAGAGGCCUCACUUUGCUGAAUAAACAGCUUUUUAAAGGAAACAGCUUAUCAUUUAAUGAAUAGACAGCCUAUUGGCUAAUCUUCAACAUGUUUUACAUUAAACAAUAGUUUUGGAUUGAACUAUUUUUAGAGUUUAAAUGUAUCCUUGUGGCGCGGCUGACACAGAAGAGCAUAAGCUGCCUGCGUACAGCUCAGAUUCGCCAAAAUGGCACUACGCUUAUGUGGAGUGACACGGAGGGGACAAAUUGUUGAAUUGUUGAAAGUCUUUUUUUUUUCGCGUACAAAAAGUAUUCUUGUCGUUUCAUAACAUUACGGUUGAACCACUGAUGGCAGAUCGACAAUUCUGACGAUGCUUUUCAUACUUUUCUGGAACAUGAAAGUGUAUUUUACUUGGCAGUCUAUGGGACAGUCACAAGCCUCCCGGUUUUCAUACAAAAUAUCUUAAAUUGUGUUCUGAAGCUGAACAAAGCCUUAAUGGAUUUGGAACGACAUGGGGCAUGACAAUCUCUGGUGGAGUAGAUGGUAUUGUCGUAGAGGGAAGAGCAAGAGGGAAACUGUAAGAAGACAUAAACAGAGAUGAAGUGGACAGAAGGGUGGAAGGAGAGCUAGAAGGUACAGACAAA